CCUCCCUCCGCCACGGUGCUCCCUCAGAAUUUCGUGCACGCCCAGGCACAAAGGACAUGGCCGAUCUGCCGUUUCAGUGGGACGAUGGCAACUGCAUCUCCCCCUUUGUGGCCUCCAGCGAGGCGGACACGGAGGCGUUCGCGGCAUGGCUCACGGAGCGUUACCUCAGCCCGAUCGUGCAGCACAUCACCGCUUCUUCUCGCGGCUGCGCAGAUCAGCUCUGUGCCGUCUUUCAACCACGUGAAAUGCGGCUUACAGACCUCGGCUGUGGUGACGCCACGGCAGCGCUUUCCUUGGUGCAGCACCUCCGCAAAGGCUGGUGCAACCUGCAAGGCGCCACGGACGAUGCUCCGUCGCCGGACAGUGCGGCCUCUUUGCGUAUCAUUCUGACAGGCAUUGACCUGGACGAUACACUCCUGGAUACCGCAGCAGCAAACACGUCCGCCUUCGCUGCCGCAGCCGUCUCGCCGUUGUCGUCGCUGGUGUCGAUCGAGACGCAUCUUCUUUCUCAGGAUAUCCGCACUUUGGACUUGAAUGUAUGCUUCCCCCGCUGCGUGCAGGGCGGCGCCGCUUCUUUCUGCGCCCCGACCCGGCCUCCACACGUACUGUACAUGUACCUCCUGCCCGACGCACUCGCUCUGCUGCGGGAGAAGCUGGUAGCCAUCAUGGAGCGCGGUUGGGUGGUGGCGUCGAACCGCUGGCCCAUCCCGGGGCUCGAAGCCUUCCUGCGCGACCGUGCCGGGCACGUGCACAUUUACCUUAACGCGGCACUGUAGCUCUUAAAGAUCGAUACGUGCAUCUGUGCGCGUGCUUUUCCGUUCACGCCUGUGCCAUGCCGUCACCGUGACCUAUCGCCUACUCAACGACCCCUUCGCGCUGGCCGUCACACCUCGCAGUCCCUCGCGCACUCCUCUCUCCGGUUUUCUUUCCAUCGCUCUGGAUGGGCAGCAGUGACAGUCACCGUGAGCACUGCUGGGCGCGGGAGGCCGGUCCUGCGAAUGUACACCGGAGUACGAUAAGGACGAAGCGCCGUCUCGGCCCCGCUGCUUCUCGAGCUUUCACAGUCUCCU
rnacentral:misc_RNA from 1 species